GGUCAAGGAUCGAAGGGCGUAUGGCGGAAGCCUAGGCACGCAGAGGCGAAGAAGGACGGAGCAAACACCGAAAUGCGUCGGGGAGCCGUAAGCAGGCAGAGAACCGGCGAUGUCCGAAUGGGGAAACCCGCAUGAGCAUGACUCAUGCAUCCCCUGCCGAACACAUAGGCAGGGAGAGGCGAGACGCAGGGAACUGAAACAUCUAAGUACCUGCAGGAGAAGAAAUCAACAGAGAUUCCGUAAGUAGCGGCGAGCGAAAGCGGAGGAGCCCAAACCGUCUUAGGACGGGG
rnacentral:ncRNA from 1 species